rnacentral:rRNA from 1 species
UACGUAGGGGGCAAGCGUUGUCCGGAAUUAUUGGGCGUAAAGCGCGCGCAGGCGGUCAAGUAAGUCUGGUGUAUAAACCAAGGGCUCAACCUUUGGACGCAUUGGAAACUGGUUGACUGGAGUGUAGGAGAGGAAAGUGGAAUUCCACGUGUAGCGGUGAAAUGCGUAGAGAUCGGCAGGAACACCCAAGGGGAAGCCAGCUGGCUGGGCAUUUGCUGACGCUCAUGUGCGACAGCGUGGGGAGCGAACUGG